rnacentral:rRNA from 1 species
GCCAGCAGCCGCGGUAAUUCCAGCUCCAAUAGCGUAUACUAAAGUUGUUGCGGUUAAAAGGCUCGUAGUUGGAUCUUGGAAUGUGUUCAAGCGGGUCAGCUUCUGGCUGUGCGCUGCUUGACGUGUUCUUCUAUUUGGUUUUGGUGCGGUGCGCUUAACUGCGUGUCGCUCCCGGCCGAAACGUUUACCUUGAAAAAAUUAGAGUGUUCAAAGCAGACCUGUUUGAGUCUGAAUAUUCGUGCAUGGAAUAAUGAAAUAUGAAUUCGGUUCUAUUUUGUUGGUUUUCGGAACUCGAGUUAAUGAUCAAGAGGGACAGACGGGGGCAUUCGUACUCUGCCGUUAGAGGUGAAAUUCUUGGAUCGGCGGAAGACGCGCAACUGCGAAAGCAUUUGCCAAGAAUGUUUUCUUUAAUCAAGAACGAUAGUCGGAGGUUCGAAGACGAUCAGAUACCGUCCUAGUUUCGACUGUAAACUAUGCCAGCUAACGAUCAGACAGAGUUCUCUACGACUUGUCUGGCAGUUUCCGGGAAACCAAAGCGUUUGGGUUCCGGGGGAAGUAUGGUUGCAAAGCUGAAACUUAAAGGAAUUGACGGAAGGGCACCACCAGGAGUGGAGCCUGCGGCUUAAUUUGACUCAACACGGGGAAACUCACCCGGCCCGGACACAGUGAGGAUUGACAGAUUGAGAGUUCUUUCUUGAUUCUGUGGGUGGUGGUGCAUGGCCGUUCUUAGUUGGUGGAGCGAUUUGUCUGGUUAAUUCCGAUAACGAACGAGACUCUGGCAUGUUAAAUAGUCGCGGAAGUGCGUAUGCACUUGCCGAAUUGACUUCUUAGAGGGACUAGUGAUUUUAAUUCACACGAGAUUGAGCAAUAACAGGUCUGUGAUGCCAGGCGAAUCGUUUAACUUGCAGAA